UACAUGGGGUGCAAACUUUGCUCGGAAUUAUUGGGCGUAAAGCGCACGUAGGCGGUUUGUUAAGUCGGAUGUGGAAUCCCUCGGCUCAACUGAGGAAGUGCAUCCGAAACUGGCAGGCUUGAGUACUAAAGAGGGCCGCGGAAUUCCCGGUGUAGAGGUGAAAUUCGUAGAUAUUGGGAGGAACACCGGUGGCGAAGGCGGCGACCUGGGUAGAUACUGACGCUGAGGUGCGAAAGCGUGGGGAGCAAACAGG
rnacentral:rRNA from 1 species